UGAGGGCGCACUGAUCCGUAAAACGCUUGGGAUGUUUCGGUAGACAUCUCGCUGCCUUUCGAGUCGAGCUUGUUGCGAGAGGAAAACCCAGCAGCCGGGGGACGUUCACGAGUUGCGUUUUUGCCAUGAGCGCUGCGCGAUCGUCUUCGACGAGCGUGGUGAGUCCGGCAGCGCCGGCGGACCCCUGUGCUAGGCUCAGGGAGGAGGCGCUGCGCUGCGUCGGGGAAGCCAAGCGCCAGCCUGGGGCACACGAUACCUGCCGCGAAAAGAAAGAGUGCUAUCGACGCUGUCGUGACCUUUGGCUGGCCGAAAUACGCAAGGCACGACGUGAAGAGCGACUUCCGAACCCGGCGGUGACGGGCCAAACGCCGGACACCAGCUAAACCUCGCUCUGGGUGGUAAUCGUCCGCAACCUGUGCGGCCGACUGGGAUGAUUUCCACGUUGAAAGCACAUUUGGACUUUGUUCGCUUUGGGGGAGUCUUCGCAGAUCAGAGCUGUUGUCGUCGAGGCUACCCGCGGCCGCCAGCUCGCUGGUCGGCACUCGAGUCUGGGGCAGCCUGGUGCAGGCGACGUGCUGCGUUCGCUACAGACAGCGCGUUCUGCGGUGUCAGGACCUUUGUUAUUCCAAGACCUCUUCUGGAGCGCAAGGCACCACAAGCGGUAACGAGCAUCCAGUAGCAAGCAAGCAAGCUAGCAUAGACGCGCCCCCGAUAAAGUGCACAUGUGCAAAUAUGCCUGCAGCGCUGCCGUCGACAACGGACUUGUCUAUGUGCAGCCAGUGCAUGACACCGAUAUGCGUCCGUUCACGCUUCGUCUGCAUCGGGCCAGCAACUGGUCUGAUGAUAUUCUCCAGGCAGCGAUUGAGAUGAACCUGUCGUGGGGCUGUCUGUUUAUGGAAGCGCGCCAUGUAGGUGUACCUGGCCAAGAGUUGGUCAUGGAAACAAGGACGCCUCUCCAUUCCGUCGUUUUGCGUCUCGUGUAGUACUCGAAUCCGAUAUCCACCGGUGCAUCCAAGGCGCUACGUUCAAUGCCGUGGAGCGUGACCUGGAGACACUGCCGGGUUUCCGCUUCGUGCGUGCCCUUCCUGAGACUGUUUCGCACCGCGUUUCAACAUGUAUUCGGGAAGGACGCGUCUUUAACGCUGCUCCUCGGUUCCAUCCAUCACAGUCUGGUCAUGAACAGACACGUCGAACGUGCGCAGCAGAAACGGGAACCCCAAAAACAUCUCGUUGCGAGGCCGUCUCCGCUGGCUCACAGGCCGUAUGAUCGCGCAUUGCACUACGACCAAGUCAAGCUAAAAGCAUG